GGGUUGUGAGGUUAAGCGACUAAGCGUACACGGUGGAUGCCCUGGCAGUCAGAGGCGAUGAAGGACGUGCUAAUCUGCGAUAAGCGCCGGUAAGGUGAUAUGAACCGUUAUAACCGGCGAUUUCCGAAUGGGGAAACCCAGUGUGAUUCGUCACACUAUCAUUAACUGAAUCCAUAGGUUAAUGAGGCGAACCGGGGGAACUGAAACAUCUAAGUACCCCGAGGAAAAGAAAUCAACCGAGAUUCCCCCAGUAGCGGCGAGCGAACGGGGAGGAGCCCAGAGCCUGAAUCAGCAUGUGUGUUAGUGGAAGCGUCUGGAAAGGCGCGCGAUACAGGGUGACAGCCCCGUACACAAAAGCGCAUGUGCUGUGAGCUCGAUGAGUAGGGCGGGACACGUGGUAUCCUGUCUGAAUAUGGGGGGACCAUCCUCCAAGGCUAAAUACUCCUGACUGACCGAUAGUGAACCAGUACCGUGAGGGAAAGGCGAAAAGAACCCCGGCGAGGGGAGUGAAAAAGAACCUGAAACCGUGUACGUACAAGCAGUGGGAGCACCCUUCGGGGUGUGACUGCGUACCUUUUGUAUAAUGGGUCAGCGACUUAUAUUCUGUAGCAAGGUUAACCGAAUAGGGGAGCCGGAGGGAAACCGAGUCUUAACCGGGCGUUAAGUUGCAGGGUAUAGACCCGAAACCCGGUGAUCUAGCCAUGGGCAGGUUGAAGGUUGGGUAACACUAACUGGAGGACCGAACCGACUAAUGUUGAAAAAUUAGCGGAUGACCUGUGGCUGGGGGUGAAAGGCCAAUCAAACCGGGAGAUAGCUGGUUCUCCCCGAAAGCUAUUUAGGUAGCGCCUCGUGAAUUCAUCUCCGGGGGUAGAGCACUGUUUCGGCUAGGGGGCCAUCCCGGCUUACCAACCCGAUGCAAACUGCGAAUACCGGAGAAUGUUAUCACGGGAGACACACGGCGGGUGCUAACGUCCGUCGUGAAGAGGGAAACAACCCAGACCGCCAGCUAAGGUCCCAAAGUCAUGGUUAAGUGGGAAACGAUGUGGGAAGGCCCAGACAGCCAGGAUGUUGGCUUAGAAGCAGCCAUCAUUUAAAGAAAGCGUAAUAGCUCACUGGUCGAGUCGGCCUGCGCGGAAGAUGUAACGGGGCUAAACCAUGCACCGAAGCUGCGGCAGCGACACUGUGUGUUGUUGGGUAGGGGAGCGUUCUGUAAGCCUGUGAAGGUGGCCUGUGAGGGUUGCUGGAGGUAUCAGAAGUGCGAAUGCUGACAUAAGUAACGAUAAAGCGGGUGAAAAGCCCGCUCGCCGGAAGACCAAGGGUUCCUGUCCAACGUUAAUCGGGGCAGGGUGAGUCGACCCCUAAGGCGAGGCCGAAAGGCGUAGUCGAUGGGAAACGGGUUAAUAUUCCCGUACUUGGUGUUACUGCGAAGGGGGGACGGAGAAGGCUAUGUUGGCCGGGCGACGGUUGUCCCGGUUUAAGCGUGUAGGUGUGUGUUCCAGGUAAAUCCGGUUCACUUUAACACUGAGGCGUGACGACGAGGCACUACGGUGCUGAAGCAACAAAUGCCCUGCUUCCAGGAAAAGCCUCUAAGCAUCAGGUAACAUCAAAUCGUACCCCAAACCGACACAGGUGGUCAGGUAGAGAAUACCAAGGCGCUUGAGAGAACUCGGGUGAAGGAACUAGGCAAAAUGGUGCCGUAACUUCGGGAGAAGGCACGCUGACACGUAGGUGAAGUGAUUUACUCAUGGAGCUGAAGUCAGUCGAAGAUACCAGCUGGCUGCAACUGUUUAUUAAAAACACAGCACUGUGCAAACACGAAAGUGGACGUAUACGGUGUGACGCCUGCCCGGUGCCGGAAGGUUAAUUGAUGGGGUCAGCGCAAGCGAAGCUCCUGAUCGAAGCCCCGGUAAACGGCGGCCGUAACUAUAACGGUCCUAAGGUAGCGAAAUUCCUUGUCGGGUAAGUUCCGACCUGCACGAAUGGCGUAAUGAUGGCCAGGCUGUCUCCACCCGAGACUCAGUGAAAUUGAACUCGCUGUGAAGAUGCAGUGUACCCGCGGCAAGACGGAAAGACCCCGUGAACCUUUACUAUAGCUUGACACUGAACAUUGAGCCUUGAUGUGUAGGAUAGGUGGGAGGCUUUGAAGUGUGGACGCCAGUCUGCAUGGAGCCGACCUUGAAAUACCACCCUUUAAUGUUUGAUGUUCUAACGUGGACCCGUAAUCCGGGUUGCGGACAGUGUCUGGUGGGUAGUUUGACUGGGGCGGUCUCCUCCUAAAGAGUAACGGAGGAGCACGAAGGUUGGCUAAUCCUGGUCGGACAUCAGGAGGUUAGUGCAAUGGCAUAAGCCAGCUUGACUGCGAGCGUGACGGCGCGAGCAGGUGCGAAAGCAGGUCAUAGUGAUCCGGUGGUUCUGAAUGGAAGGGCCAUCGCUCAACGGAUAAAAGGUACUCCGGGGAUAACAGGCUGAUACCGCCCAAGAGUUCAUAUCGACGGCGGUGUUUGGCACCUCGAUGUCGGCUCAUCACAUCCUGGGGCUGAAGUAGGUCCCAAGGGUAUGGCUGUUCGCCAUUUAAAGUGGUACGCGAGCUGGGUUUAGAACGUCGUGAGACAGUUCGGUCCCUAUCUGCCGUGGGCGCUGGAGAACUGAGGGGGGCUGCUCCUAGUACGAGAGGACCGGAGUGGACGCAUCACUGGUGUUCGGGUUGUCAUGCCAAUGGCACUGCCCGGUAGCUAAAUGCGGAAGAGAUAAGUGCUGAAAGCAUCUAAGCACGAAACUUGCCCCGAGAUGAGUUCUCCCUGAGACUUAGAGUCUCCUGAAGGAACGUUGAAGACGACGACGUUGAUAGGCCGGGUGUGUAAGCGCAGCGAUGCGUUGAGCUAACCGGUACUAAUGAACCGUGAGGCUUAACCUUACAACGCCGAAG
rnacentral:rRNA from 2 species